AGAAAAUCGCAGCCAUACGGGCUGUGCUCCCCCAGCUGAACUCUAUUCCUGACGCUGGGAGAAAAGACGCCGUGUGGCGACGUGCUCCUCCCUCCAACCCCGCCAACCUCAUCUGUCAGCCAUUAGUUAAUCAGGGCCGGUAACGCGCGGCACGGAGGGCUGGCACAGCUCGUGGGACCAGAGGACAGCUUCGCCUCUGAGACCUGAGGGACCUCUGCCUCCGGAUCCACGGCUGGGCCGCUUCACUCAGCGGCACCCACUCAGAAAUGGCGUCAACUUCGAGAUGACCCCAGCCAAAGCAUGUCUGUGAGCAGGUAAGCCAAUAGGACACAUGGAAGCUGUUAGGGAUCCAAGAGGAACCUGACCAGAGCUUACAUAUCUGUCACUCAGCCAACGUGGCUUUCAAAGCAGUUUAUACUGCGCAAUACCUCACACAGAGAAGGUAAAUUCCCCCGAAGCCAACAGAGAUCAGCACUGCCUUGCGUGUGUAAAUGUCGAGCAGCAGACUCUGACUGGGCUUUCUUUCGCCGAUUAAAGGCGAAUUGAGUUUGGAAAACAAGGUCCGGCCGUAGAGACGAUACAAGUUGUAUGAUGGAACACAUUUUUUUUUUUUUUUUUUUUUUUUGUAUUCCCGAAACUUGUCUUAAAAUGUGGGAGCCAAUCACAUUGCGGCACGCUCGCAAUGCAACACCACGGUAAUACCAGGCGUACGGUUACCAUAGUUACGCACGCUCUUCAAAGGAGAUCGGCGUGGACCCGGAGCAAGAACCAACUUGCCAGAGUAGACUGAAGGGAGUGCAGAAUUAUACCCGGAGCUACACGUUGUCAGCGGUGUGAGGAACAGUCAUACUCUAAACUACGCUUUUUCUAUUCCGAUUGUUAUUCCAUCAGAAGUACGCAUAAUCACGCUGGGAGCCAGCAGCCAUCGGUGUGAACUGUAUUGCCUGGGGAGACAUUGCCAUGUUUGUGGCGUUUGUUUUAGCUUAAUCAGUAUCACAAUGUCCUUCGGCGCAAAGAUUAAAGCACAAAUCCGAGAGAGAAGGAGACCAGAGGUGUAGGGUCACAGAGACCUCAGGCUGCUUUUCUGUCUGUGCUCUUGUUUUGCAGGGAGGUCUCAAAGAGUCCAAACAACACAUGUUGCCAACAUGGGAACAGCCGGUAAGAGCGGCGUCACGGGGCACAGGAAUGUCAAGAGUCAUAGAUCUUUUAUCCAUCCGGCCUCGUUUGAAACCACGCACAGGAGCACUGUGACAUUUUUUGAAUCCAACCCAUGUCACGUUUAGCUUUGCUAACUUCCGCGUGACCAACCUGACGGCGUGCGACGAACCAUAGAACCCAGAAAAUGGCCGGAGAUAUUCUACAGGCACUAACGUACAAAUUCAGUUCAGACAAGUUUAGCAGUUGAUGUCAACUGCUAAAUGGAAAUAGUUCCCAGACUCCAUCAGUGCGGUUCUUGUAUUUUGUCACGCUUUUAAGAGUUAAAUAAACAAUUGGUUGAGUAAGCAUAUACAGUUUCUCCAACGCAGUUUCCUCUUUAAGUCAACACCACUCGAGAAAGAUACACCAAGAAACUAUAAGUCAAAAUGAAACGACGAAGUUUUUCCGCCAGUCUAAACAUUUCACAGAGUACUUUUUCCAUCACUAUGUAGUCGGCCUGCUCAUAUGUGCACUCUACUGCACAUGGAAUGAUGAAUACAUUGGAAUAAAGCUAAUUCUUGAGGACAGAACUUUAAAAAUAUAGGAGACCAAUUAGAGAGUUAAAAUACUUACAAUUGAUGUUGAGCAUUUAACUCUAGGUCUCUCUUCCCACUAAAGAAAGAAUAAAAACAUAAAGAACGCUGCAUGACGAGAAGAAUAUCCCUGUUAUAAAGACAGAAGAAAUCCACACCUGGUGUUACCACAUAUCCACUAUUAAAACACGAAUUGUUUGCCAACUCACUUGAAGCUCUGCUGAAAGGGUGUCUGAUUUGAGUCGAGUCAGUGGGUUUUACCAUUGGACAAAAAACACCCAAACCAGCGUUUUUUCCUGGCGCGCCCUGGCUGGUCAACACAUUUCCAGAACAAUGGCGAAGGAUUUAGAUCCGAACAGCAGAAAUAAACAUGAGGUUUUGGUUUCAUUCGUCUCAGUAAACCCAGAUAAAUAUUGCAGCGAUGCGUGAGGCAAAGUAGAGCCAGUCCUUGACAGCUUCUGUCAUUUUAACAAAGUACUAAAACGUCAAUAUGAACGUGUACUUAAUAAUAACUGCUAUACUGUACAUAGAGCUGGACCAAUGAGUUAUUACAUUACUGUGGCAAACAGUUUAAUAGAGUAAAACUUCCAGGCAAAAAUAGCCGAUAUGGUUCACUUUGUAAAAUAUUUCUUUGGCUAAGUCGGGCUUUGAACAGCUGACAAAGAAAGUAGGGACAUUUAUUACUAUUUUCAAUACCUUACAGUCCAAAAAAUGAAAGCACUCGGGAAUAAUAAUAAUGACGGGCAGAUGCUUAAUAAAUAAAAAAUGGUCGCUAGCUGCAGCCCUAGAAAUACACAAUGCGUGAACGGUGGAUUUUCCCUCUGAAUGAAAAUAUCUUCAGUGAAUAGUGCAUCAAAGACGACCUGACAGGUAGCUAACGUGCAUAGAAAGUACAGCACACACAGUCCGACAGUAAGGUACACAUACAGCUAAAUGUCUGACUCCUAGAGUGUAGUCAAAACAGCACAAAAUCAGCCCUCUGUUACUGGGCGGGUGGGCUCGAACAUCCAAGCUAUCGCCGUCCCCCCAAUCAGAAGGGAAAAAGCUCUUGGAUAUGGAUGCCAAAACAAAACAGAAAAAUAACUCAAUUUCAGCUUGAUAGCAUCGACAGGCCCAAACAGGACCAGGCCCCGUCAAGUCUGACGCGUUAACCUCAUGGGAGAAGAAUUUGCAUUUAAGUGGAGUCUAAGAAGUGACUCCAAGAGGCCCUAAACCACUUUAGAAUCCUUGACAGAGGAGUUGAGGAAAAGCAGGCGCACUCUACCUGUGUCAAAGUGAGGCUGUGUUCCCUAUCAUUCAAUGAGCCUGAGCUAAACCCCACUAAAUGUUUCCACACUUUCACACCUUGUCUCGUCUCAUUGCAUCUCACCACAUCUGCUCACACCUUGGAUUACCUAAAAAUAUAGCCUGACCUUUACUGGAUGGACUCCUCUGUUAAUCUACUCCAAUGCACAACCACGUUAAGUUAACGUUAAGUUAAGUCAAGCUUCCAGAUGGGACUUGACUUUGACAGCGCCAAAAUCCUGGUUUUCUGCUGGCAAACCAAAUUACAGCAGGUAAUAUACUCAACUUAUCGUCAUGUUUUUCAACUGCUGGACCCAUAAAAGCAGUCCAAAUAUUAAGAUAAUUCAGAUUACAUCUUGAAAGCAUUUGGUUCCAGCCUCCAUAGUCUUAAUGGUUUGCAAAUAUCUGUAGGCCAUAGUGCUUGACUUUUAACCAGCAAAUCAUCAACUAAACUAUUUUGCUUUCUCUCAAAGGCCAAAUUGAAACAAUAGCUCCCUCGACUCAGAUUUAAAUCAAAGCCAUAACAAGCGCUGCGCUCUGGAGGACCGCAGGGGGCCCUUCAGCCACCGCUUCAAUUGAUCCCACUCGACUGGCAUAUGCACAUGAUCAGAAACACAAGAGCAUGUCAUGGCCAACUGACCCCACGGAUGACAGGUUUGCAGAGAGUUCUUGCCCGCUGCCCUCGGGCCAAAGUAUGUCAACGGUGUGCAUGUGGAUUUAAUUUAAAGCAGCAUUAUUAGGUCACAGACGCUCAGCUGCACGAGGAAGCAACUCGUGACAGGAAAUGCUAUGUUUUUGUUUGCAACAAAAAGGCAUAAAUGGCUGAAAUUGUGCCCUGGUUGCCAAUUUACCACACACAGUCUUAUUGUAGCUGAUUGCACAUGUUGGACAUUGCUUUAAAGGCACGUCAUUAGUUUGUGGAAUUUACAUUUCUGAUUGUUUAGGCUUAACUCUGUCUGAAACUAUACACUGCUGCAAUAAAUGUGAUAAUUGUUG